rnacentral:miRNA from 1 species
AAUGGUCCCCGAGGGAGAUCUGCAUUCUAAUCCCCAGAAGCGAAGGAUUAGGAGGACAAGGAUGCAGACCUCCCUGGGGGACCAUU